UACGUAGGGGGCAAGCGUUGUCCGGAUUUAUUGGGCGUAAAGAGCGUGUAGGCGGCCACACAGGUCUGCUGUGAAAACUCGAGGCUCAACCUCGAGCUGUCGGUGGAAACCGUGUGGCUAGAGUCCGGAAGAGGAGAGUGGAAUUCCCGGUGUAGCGGUGAAAUGCGCAGAUAGUCGGGAGGAACACCGGUGGCGAAGGCGGCUCACUGGUCCGGUACUGACGCUGAGGUGGCGAAAGCGUGGGAGCAAACAGG
rnacentral:rRNA from 1 species